GGCAGCGUGGCCGAGCGGUCUAAGGCGCUGGUUUAGGCACCAGUCGGAAGGGCGUGGGUUCGAAUCCACCGCUGUCA